GAACAAAUUAUUAAAAACAUAUUACCGCAUUGGAGGGGAAUCUGGAUUAACUACCCACUGUUCCCCCCCAACUUUUGAAAAAUUUUGGCCAUAUAGAAUGCGUGAAAAAUCAGUAUGAUCUUAUGAGGACUUUAUAGUACUGUAAAUCUUAGGAGCACUUUAGUUGUUUUGUUUGUUUGUUUGUUUUGCCAGUCAAAUAGCAGUGGGGGAUUGUAUACCAACUUUAGUGACACUGAUAUUAAUAAGUUCUGAUAACCCACUACCAUCGGACCAGCCUGGAGCACGUUGCUUUGGCCAGUGGAAAGUCUCUUGGAGAGACUUUGAGGUUUGUGAUGACAAAUCAUGCUAUCACUAAAGUUAAAUACAUACAUAUAUACACCUAGAAUAUAAGCAGAAUGGAGAUGUUGGCAGGGAUGAAUUCAAGAACAUUAGAGUGAAUUUUUUUCAUUACAGAAUUGUUAGUUCCUUUAGGAACUUAGUCUCGUAGAUGUAUAUAUUUAAUUAGCAUAACUUGGACAGCACAAGAUUAAUGCUUUAACUUGUUUGCAGGAGUUUAAAAAGCUGGUUUCUGUUGCCAAUAGUUGGUUGGAAGGGAAAAUGGAGAUGCCACAAAUAAAAUUUUUUGGAUGUGCAAAACAGUUUUGAUUUUAUUUCUUACAAACUAUAGGACUCCAAGCCCCCUGAUCCUUGAUCAGAACUACAUUAACACCAAAAAUCAAGUUAUCAAAGCAGAGAGGAGGGUGCUAAAGGAGUUGGGAUUUUGUGUUCAUGUCAAGCAUCCUCAUAAGGUGAGUUGUAGAGUACAGAAAUUGGGUUCGUAAGUAUUAGGACUUUUCUAAAAAUUUUAUUUUAUAUGAAUUUAUGUUUCUAUCUGAGCGUUAACCUUGGUUUUAAAAAGCAUUCUUUUAAAGGUUCAGGCUUCAUCGAAAAACAUUCUUUUGGAUGUUGAGGUUUAUCAGUAAAAUGACAGUCAAAAAUGUAGGUUCAAAUCUUAAAUCUUAAUUGUGUGCUCAUAGAGAAGUUAUUUUUGUUUCUGUGGUUAAAGUCCCAGUUUUUCCACCUAGAAAACAGAGAUGUAAAGUUCCUCAUUCCAAGGAAUAAAUGUGUAGCUACAAAAGUAUCUGGCACACUUAUCGUCAUGGUAGAAUGUUCUAAGUGUGUUGGCUGCUCACUGUUAUCAUUAUUGGAAAUUUGUUUCUCCCAACAUCUCUUAGUUUUCAUUAUCAAUAUAAGCCGUAGAGUGAGUUACCUGGGUCAGGACUACCUGGGUUAGAAAUGUACCUUGGGAAAUUAGGUGAAAUAAUCUAGCACGGUGCCCAUCACAUAGUAAAGUGCCAAUGAAAAAUAUUCUUUUAAUUGCCUUUUUUCCUGUACAAUUUUGAAAUAUACUUCUAAACAUAAUUUAUAUAAAAUCUGAUCAUGUAACAGUUCACGUUAGAAUCUUAUGUACAUUUAAAUUGGUCUGUAUUAUCGAUGCACAAUUAGAACUUGAGUCUAACAUUUUCAAUUACUUUUUUCAUUGAACUCUACUCUGAAAGAACUACCAGUAUACUAAAUUGAGUUUUUUUCCCUUGUCCUUCAGAUCAUUGUUAUGUAUUUACAAGUCUUAGAAUGUGAACGUAAUCAAACCCUGGUUCAAACUGCCUGGUAAGUCACUUUUUUAGAUUUCUUUCCUAGCCAGGAAAACAGAAGCAGAAAUAAAGUAAGUUUCGUUUUCCCUUUCCAAAAUAAUGAGAUAAGUUUGGGGCUUUUCGUUGUUUUUUGUUUGUUUGUUUUUUUAACCAAAAGGUAAAUAAUGCUUAUUUCUGCUUCCUGUUUUCUUGGCUUGACUAAUUACUUUUAAUGGAGAACUCAAUUUAACUUUGUUCUUUUUUCUACUCUUUAAUUAAAGGGUAGUCCAUGAUGGUAAGUCAUAGAACUCUGCCCUCUGCACUUCAGCCCAUGACCUCAGGAUGGCCUGAUUGGCUACCCUGCUCUCCAGCCAAUCCAGUGCAAGCUCUCAUCCGAGAUUCACUGAAGUGGUCCAUAUCCAUCUGGCAGCAUCUUCUAGUUCUGUCGGGGUGUCAAAAGGAUUUGUAUAUUUGCUUCUAGAAGUAACUAUUUGACAUGCCUAUGUAUUUAAUGUAUACUUGUAACUAUCAAAAUGAAUAGUUCAUUUUUGAUAGAUUUGUUGUGCAGCCAUUAUGAAUUAAAUGGUUUCUUAUUAGGAGUUUGACUAAAUUUUUAUUUUUAGUGUGUAUAGCAUGAAUUCUACCAAAGGAGACUACAAACUUGCAGCUUAAAAUGGGCACCAGUUCCCACACUGGCUUAAUUUAUAUAACUGCUUGGCUGUAUUGCGGGUAAUAAUAUUAGAAGCAAGAAGCACUUCAUUUUUAAAAGAGAUGUUACUAUAAUAUUGCUUAAAUGCUUUAGCACUUGGACUUCUUGAGAUGCAGAUGUGUGAUUUGGAGUGCUGGCUUAUUUAAAGGUCAAGCCAAGGAGUUUGUGGUUCAGCCACAACUACUGUUUCCUAAGACUAUUGAUGUGAAGGACUUCGUGAAGUAAUUUUUAUAUUCUGGGCUUCCCAGCAAGAUGUCCUUUUUAUGACUGCCAUGCUUCUUUUGGACUCAGUAAAUAUUUGUAAUGUUAGAAAAGUCUCAUUAUUUUUAUAAAAUGCAUGACAUUUAAGUAUGUGUUGCAUAAAAUGGAUUAUAGCAGUUCUCAUGGUUUAGGAUUUUUAAGAAAAUAGUCCAUUUAAUUUCAGCUUAACCUUUUAAAUGACCUGUAAAAUUUCUUUGAUAGUUUAGGAAUGUUGUGGGGAGGGUUCAUUAAUAAAAGUUCAGCAAUUUUUUAACUGAAAUAGUUUAUCUCUUUUACCUAGUCACAAAAAAGGUAUGUAAACAAGGCCAUUAUAUGUGUUUAUUGCUCUUUACUUCCCUAUCUAGAUUUUCUAAGUAUCUUAGCUUUCUUAAUAUAAGUUUAACUUGGUACUUGCUGAAAAUGCCUUUUUACCCCUGUUAACGGUAUUUUGAGCUUUUGAAAAGAACUUGGUUGACACUGCUUUUAUUGUGGAUAAAGGAGAGAUGGUCAGUAAUUAAUGGCUUGAAGUAUUAUUGGAGUGGUUUAUCAUUUCUGAAACUAAUCGUGUCAGAAUUGACUUUGAAAAGCAUUGCUUUUUACAGAAAUAUAUUAACUUUUUAGGAGUAAUUUCUAGUUUGGAUUGUAAUACGAAAUAAUUUAAAAGGGCUUGCUCAUAUAUAGGAAAAUUGCAUAUGGUCCUAGUAUUAAAUUCUUAUUGCUUACUGAUUUUUUUGAGUUAAGAGUUGUUAUAUGCUAGAAUAUGAGAAUGUGAAUAUAAAUAAGAGAAGAAAAAAGAAUAAAGUAGAUUGAGUCUCCAAUUUUAUGUAAGCUUCAGAAGAACUGGUUUGUUUACAUGCAAGCUUAUAGUUGAAAUAUUUUUCAGGAAUUACAUGAAUGACAGUCUUCGAACCAAUGUGUUUGUUCGAUUUCAACCAGAGACUAUAGCAUGUGCUUGCAUCUACCUUGCAGCUAGAGCACUUCAGAUUCCAUUGCCAACUCGUCCCCAUUGGUUUCUUCUUUUUGGUACUACAGAAGAGGAAAUCCAGGAAAUCUGCAUAGAAACACUUAGGCUUUAUACCAGAAAAAAGCCAAACUAUGAAUUACUGGAAAAAGAAGUAGAAAAAAGAAAAGUAGCCUUACAAGAAGCCAAAUUAAAAGCAAAGGGAUUGAAUCCGGAUGGAACUCCAGCCCUUUCAACCCUGGGUGGAUUUUCUCCAGCCUCCAAGCCAUCAUCACCAAGAGAAGUAAAAGCUGAAGAGAAAUCACCAAUCUCCAUUAAUGUGAAGACAGUCAAAAAAGAACCUGAGGAUAGACAACAGGCUUCCAAAAGCCCUUACAAUGGUGUAAGAAAAGACAGCAAGAGAAGUAGAAAUAGCAGAAGUGCAAGUCGAUCAAGGUCAAGAACACGAUCACGUUCUAGAUCACAUACUCCAAGAAGACACUAUAAUAAUAGGCGGAGUCGAUCUGGAACAUACAGCUCGAGAUCAAGAAGCAGGUCCCGCAGUCACAGUGAAAGCCCUCGAAGACAUCAUAAUCAUGGUUCUCCUCACCUUAAGGCCAAGCAUACCAGAGAUGAUUUAAAAAGUUCAAACAGACAUGGUCAUAAAAGGAAAAAAUCUCGUUCUCGAUCUCAGAGCAAGUCUCGGGAUCACUCAGAUGCAGCCAAGAAACACAGGCAUGAAAGGGGACAUCAUAGGGACAGGCGUGAACGAUCUCGAUCCUUUGAGAGGUCCCAUAAAACCAAGCACCAUGGUGGCAGUCGCUCAGGACAUGGCAGGCACAGGCGCUGACUUUCUCUUCCUUUGAGCCUGCAUCAGUUCUUGGUUUUGCCUAUCUACAGUGUGAUGUAUGGACUCAAUCAAAACAUUAAACGCAAACUGAUUAGGAUUUGAUUUCUUGAAACCCUCUAGGUCUCUAGAACACUGAGGACAGUUUCUUUUGAAAAGAACUAUGUUAAUUUUUUUGCACAUUAAAAUGCCCUAGCAGUAUCUAAUUAAAAACCAUGGUCAGGUUCAAUUGUACUUUAUUAUAGUUGUGUAUUGUUUAUUGCUAUAAGAACUGGAGCGUGAAUUCUGUAAAAAUGUAUCUUAUUUUUAUACAGAUAAAAUUGCAGACACUGUUCUAUUUAAGUGGUUAUUUGUUUAAAUGAUGGUGAAUACUUUCUUAACACUGGUUUGUCUGCAUGUGUAAAGAUUUUUACAAGGAAAUAAAAUACAAAUCUUGUUUUUUCUAAA
rnacentral:sRNA from 1 species